GGCGUUCGGGGUGCCGCUGAUCCCGAGCGUGGCGAGCGGGGACGGCACCCCGCGAGCGCCCCGCCUCCGUGCGCCCUCGGGGUCCCCGGGCCGCCGCUCCGCAGAGGCCGGGUGGCGCGCGCCGGCUCUCGCGUCCCGGGGCGCCCGGGGAUCCCGCUGUCCCCAGGGGCCGGUGGAUCGAGAAACCCCAGAUCUUCGGGGAUCCCCUAGGACCCGCUGGUGGGCCGGCUACUGGUUUGGUCCCCUUCUCUCCGCGCCCCGCCACCGUCCCGCAAGCGCAGAGAGAACACCAAGUAUCCGUUUUAUUCUCGUGAUUUAUUGACCAAACCUCGGUGCAGAUGGAAAAGGGGAACGGGGGUGCGGGGUGGGGGUUCGCAGACCUCGCGCCGCCGAGCCCAGCGCCUCCGAAGUUGCCCGCACACCCCGGUGCGCCGCUGUGCACGCGGGUGCAGCGCGCGGAGACACCCCGCACCGCGCGGCGUCACGUCCCGGCUGCCAGGUAGGAGGGUUCCGGAGGCGCCGGGUGCCGCAGGAACGUCAGGCUCGGCGGGGUGCGGGGAGAACGGCUCCCCCAGAGUUCCUGUCGUCCGCCGGGCUCCGGGGGUUGUUGAACCCCGCACCCACAGCCCGGCGAGCGAGGGGAGCGUCCCCACGUGUCCGGGAAGUGAGAACGCACGUCCCGGCGCCCCCUCGGCCUGCAAAGAAGUUUGCUGAGCGUCUCAAGGCCACCCAUCCUCACCCCUGGCCAUGCCAGGAACAUUCUGGAGAGUCUGUGCUCUCCGGUACCGGGCAAUUAAUUGAAUUCCCUGAAGGAUGCUCUCUUCUCUCCAAACACAGUGCGUUCCUGCCGUCUUUCCCACCAGCCUCUGGAAACAAGAUGAUACAUGGAUUCUUUGUGUUUGUAAAGAUCGUCAAAAUUUGCAAAAUUGAGUCACACACAGAGAAGCAUCCUGUCCCUCCUGACCUACAAGUCACCCGGUGGCAGCAGUGAGGCUGUCUGCGGCUGUCAAUGAGUAUAUUGUACAUUUCAGCUGCUAAAUGCCCUCAUCCAUUACGAUUGCCUGCGUGUGCACAAUAACCAGCGACGGAGCUGCUGCUGUCCGUGUUUCCGUGUGGAGGAAAUGGAGACUCCACUAGCUCUGAAUUUUCAGUUCCCCUGGACCCCCGAAAAAUGUUUUGUUUGUCUUUGUUUUGAGGCCACAGCUGGCAGUGCUCAGGGUUGAACUCCUGGCUCUGAGCUCAGGGAUCACUCCUGGUGGGGCCAGGGUUCGAAUCCACUGUACUGUCUCUCCAGCCCCAGGCAGCUGAAUUUUAAGGGACAAGAAGCAGGACCCCACGGUCAGUCUGGCGUGACACUGGCUGGCUCUGCCCACUCUGCCUUUAAUCUGGCCAGGGCACCAAGCAGGCAGAGAAGCUCGAGGCACCUGUCCAAGGCCACAGGGACAGUACGCAGUGGACACACGGGGCCCAUCGGAUCCCUGCUCUCUCCUAAGAGGAAACCAGCCCACCUCGGAGCACUUAUCUCUGCCGAGAUUAUCUCAUAUGCACUGUUAUGCAACAUAUGUAUAUCAUUAUUGUUACUUUUAAAUAACAAUUUACUUGGUAGACUGUAAAUUUGGCAUUGGUUUGGGUGUUAUGAAAGCACCUACUAGAAAUCGGGCUUAUUCCUGGCUCUGCACUCAGGGAUCACUCCUGGUGGUGCUCGGGGGGACCACAGAGGCUGCCAGAGUAUUGAACUGGGUGGGCUGCUUGCACAGCAAGCUCCCUGAGCACUGUACUAUCUCUCCGACCCUAAAGUCAUUUUUAUAGUUGCAGAGCGUUACAAUCCCUCCAUUUGACAAGUAAUUCUUAACAAUAUUUAGUGUACUAAUAGGAUAUGCUAAUAGGAUCUGUUUGUUGUUGUUAUUUGGGGGACCAUCUCCAGUGGCACCCAGGGCUUACUCCUGGCUUUGUGCUUAGGGGUCACUCCUGGUGGAACUCAGAGACCAUCCAUCUGUGGUUCCAGGGAUCAAACUGGGGUGGGCCAAAUGCAAGGCUAACACGUUACCUCCUGCACUUUCUGGCCCUGGGAUCUGCUUGUUGUUGUUUUUGCUGUUGUUGGUUUUGGUUUGGAGGCUACACCCAGCAAUGUUCAGACAGUCUUUGUUUUGCUGCAUGUGAAGCAAACAAGUACUAUUGCUCCAGCCCCACGAUAUGUUUUUAAAGCAGAAAUUUAUUUGAAAGAGUGGAGGAGAAACAUACUGAAAAAUGUAUAGG